UGUUACUACCCCAAUGUACUACAGUGUUUAGCUCAUAGAGUUUCCCAGGUGGCACAGUUGGCUGGAUUCCCAUAAUUGCCAUCUGUAAAAACAUAGGAAAUACAAAUAAUGGUAGAGAUCGUUUCACUUGAUUACUUGCUCCUGUCCGUGGAUUCAAGAGACUACACUGUCAUAGCACCAAACUGCUUACUUAUCAAAGAUGCUCUCUAGCCUGAAAUUGCUACAAUUGAUCUUUAACCCAUUGAAUACCAACAUUUGGGUCGUGUUUAUCAUAAAUAUUGCCUCACUACAUAAACAUUGCAUUGGCACUUCAAACUAAUUUGGGCCCUUUUACUGCUGAGCCUUAGAUUUGGCUGCCACAGGGCUCCCUCUGGAGGUUGGUAGAGUCCAAGGUCAGUUAAUAUUAAAAUAGCCUUGGCCUUGGGACAAGAUAAACCUGUCUUUUCAUCCAGCGCCCACAAGAAUGGGUCCUGUAUUUGUGAGCUUAGAAGAUGAUUGUCUGUAUCUGAGGUUGGAGGAAAGUUAUUUGAUUAUCCUCCUAUAAGUGAAAUGUGAUCACUGCUAUGUACUGGUAUUUAAUCUUCUGAAGUUUUACAUUUUUCUAUCAUUAUUGAAGUCUUUUAGCUACAGUGAAAAACAAAACAAAAUAAAACCAUAGGUCAGAAAAAUGCCAGAUUUUAUUUUAUGUGUUUGUUUUAGUGACAAGGAAACCCAAAAUAAGGUGGUUUUGGUUCUAUAAUGACCACCCUCCAGGUAGGACCAAAUGAUCCCAGAGUCUGAAUUCCAUCUAGAAGUGUUUGAAGCCCAUAGGCAUUGGAAUCAACGAGUUUGCAGCACAACUUAACUCUUUGAAGCUAUGGAGGCUGGGAAGUGCAAAAUCAAGGCACGAGCAUGAUCAGGUUCUGGUGAAGACCUUCUUCCGGACUGCACGCUGCUAUCUUCUAAUAUUCUCACAUGGCAGAGAAGCUAUGGAGGCUGGGAAGUGCAAAAUCAAGGCACGAGCAUGAUCAGGUUCUGGUGAAGACCUUCUUCCGGACUGCACACUGCUAUCUUCUAAUAUUCUCACAUGGCAGAGAAGGAAGCUUUUUCAGCUUUGUGACUAAGAGACAGCCAGCCUUUCAGCUGGGUGAGCUUUCCAGUUGCAUGAGAAAGAGCUUCAUCAGAAACCACCUACAUUCUUGCCAUUCGAAAAAAUAGAAAAAAAGAAAGAGAAGAAUAUAGAAAGAAUUGCUUCUCCUCUAAAAAAAACAGGUGAGCUAUCACAUUCCAAAAAAGUCGGUGUCUGGUUUGGGAAGCUGAUUCAUGGAGACUGACGUCAACCUGGUUCUAGCCUCUGGGCCAAAAAGAAUCAUGAAAGAAGUGACUUCCUCAAUGACCUGAUGUGAUGUCAGGCUUAAUCUGCCACAAUCAACUGGUGAACAGUCCUUGGAUGGUUUCAUAAUGGUGCAGAAGAGACCUUGUCCACCUCCAGUAGCAGAAAAAAGUGACCAAGCAAACAGCCCGAUGCAUAAUCUUUCAUGGCAUCGUCACUGCUAGGAGACUUCUCUUAAAGUCGCUCAGCUGACUUCAUACCUGAGUUCCUGGAAGAAGCUGGUCAGCAGGGGCGGCUCCGUGACCUUCCAGUGUGCAAGGGCAUUGCUCAGUGCAUCUGGGUAGAUAAUUCUGUGUUUCUGAUUCAUUGGUGCGGUGUCUAGUUGUGUUGCCUGCCUUUCUUCCCCUAGGAAAUUCCUAGUAUGUGCUGGUACCCAGCAGAUUUACUCUGAAACAUUUGUACUGCACAGGGCUUUUUUCUUCUUCAUCGACUUUUGGCUUCUGAUUUCAGAACUUCUGCCCCAACUAACUGGUAAACGCAGCUGGAUACCAUCUGGUUUAUGUGCUUCCCAUCACAGAUGACCUACCUCAGGCAGGCCACUUGAUUUUCCUUUCUUUAAGGUCAGCCAGUAUAUGGAGAGCACAAGUGGGAAGCGUUCAGGGGCUUUCUGAAUCUAAAUUAGCUUUCCUCAAAGGGUGGUAUAUGCUAAGCCCUGGAGACAGUGUUUAAGUGAAAGAUAAGUCACCCUGAUGAUAAAAAAUAUACAGAACAACUGCCAUUUAAUGUGCACUUGUAUAGUCUCUAACGCCCCCAACAGUCUUCUGGGAUGAGGGCCCCAAAGCGUGAGGGGAUGAAAGAACUUGCUCAAGCCCACACAGCUGGAAAGUGGGUUUGAACCCAGUCCUGCCUGACUUCAGAGUUCACAUUCUUGCCUCUGUGCCAAACUGCCUCCCAGGUGUCCUUGACCAAAGAAAUAAUAUGAAUUGGUUGAAAAGAGGGAUUUUGUGUUGCUUCAAAGGGUAGAGGUGGAAUCACAGAGUGAAGCCAAAGGAGGCAGAUUUCAGUUCAACAUUAAGACGAGACUUUUAACCACGGUAGGUGGCUAAAAAAAUGGGAUGAGCUAUUUUGCAAGCCAGUGAGUUCGUGGCCUAGAGGGAUUCGUUCAAACCCAGGCAAGUGCAAAUCUGUGCUACUGCGCAGAGCAUUCCUGCUUCAGCUGGGAGGUUGGACUGCACAGUUUUUCAGGCUCCCCCAACUCUAAGAGUCUAUAGUUCUGUGAUUUUUAGAGGACAUGUCGCAGAAAGGUGACUUCUGUUCCUCAAGCAUGCCAGGUUCAUCCCAGAAGCUGUUGUAGGCCUGCACUUGCUGUGAGGCCUCUGGGCUGGUUCUAUCCUCUGCUGAAUGUUCUCUCCCACACGAUUGCCCCCAGGCUAACUUUACCUCCACAUCUUUUCAAAGAGGCCUACCCUAUUUAGAAUUUACCGUUCACAAAAAGUGCAUCUCUGCUAGUGCUCCCAAUUCCUCUUCCUCUGCUGUAACUUUUUUUUUUUUUUUUGUAGCACUUGUCAUCAUCUUUUAUACUAUGUAAUUUACUUUGUUAAUUCAUUAAUUGUUUAUUGUGUUUCUUCCUCUGCCAGUUCUGUGGGGCCAAGGUUUUUUUGUUUUUUAAAAAAAUUUUGCAUCCUGGUACCUAAAUGGUCCGUGUCAUGUUGUAGACAAUCAAUAAAUAUUUGUUGACUAAACGGUGGAACCACGUGGAGAAGUCUGAGCUCAGGCUCUGCUGACAGCCAGGUAGGCAGCGUUGGGCAAAUCACUUCAUCACUCUGGUCUCAGAUUCCUGUUGGGGUCUGUACAUCUGUAAGAAUAAUUGUGUGAUUUUAAAAUUCAAUUGGGUGGGUUGUUACAUUCCUCUUAAAAAUACACCAAGCAAUUUCAAAUGAACACCGGUACAAAUGUAAGAAGAAAAUAUGCCAAUCAUCACUUUUGAACCACACUUUGGUCUUUUUGCAGCUGAAUGGCUAACCUAAGCCUUUUCACACUCAGGUUCUUUGUUGUUCUGAGAGCCAUUUAUUAUUGGAAACACACCAUUGAAAGAUAAAUCUAGUGACCAAUACACUUCCUCUAUGAACGCGUAUGCUGGGGAUUUUCCACUGCUUGGUUACUGCUUAGGGGAAAAUUUUAGAGCAGCAGGAAAAAACAUUGAUAAUUUGCUCCUAUUACUGGCAUAAGUCAUGAUUGGCGCCUCUAAGCACACUGGGGAUAUAGCAACUAGUCUGAUUGUUUGAUUUUUUGGUUUUUUAAUCCACACACAUUUUGUGAGUUUAACUAUUAUUUUCAGGUGUAGUUAGAUGGCUUCACAAGAAUAUGGAGGAAGCAUGUUAUAUGUGCUAUGUGAAAGUAUAGUUAUUAGAUAAUCAUAGAUAUUAGAUAGCUAGAUAUUUGUCAUAUCUAAUAUAUGUGCAGUCAUACAUCACUUAACAAUGGGACUAUGUUCUGAGAAAUGUGUUAUUAGGUGAUUUUGUCAUUGUGCGAACAUCAUGGAGUGUACUUAACAAAUCUAAAUGGGAUGGCCUUUUGCUCUUAAGCUACAAACCUGUUCAGCAUAUUACUAUACUGAAUACUACAGGCAAUUAUAACACAGUAGUAAGAAUUUGUGCACCUAAACACAUCUAAACAUCAAAAAGCUACAGUGAAAAUACUGUAUAGAAGAUUGUUUAAAAUGCUAGACUGUAUAAGGCACUUACCAUGAAUGGAGUUUGCAGGACUGGAAGUUGCUCUGGGUGAGUCAGUGAGUAUGUGAGGAGUGAAUGUGAAGGCCCAGGACAAUUCUGUACACUACUGUAGACUUCACAUACAUUGUUUUCUUUGACUAAACUGAAUUUAUUUUUUAAGAAUUUUUUUCUUCAAUGAUGAAUUAAUCUUAGCUAAAUGUAACUUUUUAACCCUAUGAAUUUUUUUAACUUUUUGACUCUUUUGUAAUAACACAGCUUAAAACAUGAACACAUUUUACAGCUACACAAAAAUAUUUGCUUUCUUUAUAUCCUCAUUUUAGAAGCUUUUUUCUAUUUUUAUAAAUUUAUUUUUUUCAGUUUUUAAACUUUUUUAAUUAAAAAUGAAGACUCAAAUAUACACAUUAGUCUAGGCCUACACAAGGCCAGGAGCAUCCAUAUCACUGCCUUCCACCUCCACAUCUUGUCCCACUGGAAGGCCUUCAGGGCAAUAACACGCGUGGAGCUGUCAUCUCCUCUGGUAACAAUGCCUUCUUCUGGAAUACCUCCUGAAAGACCCAUCUGAGGCUGUUUUACAGUUAAUUUUUUUUUGUAAGUAAAAAGACUAUAGUCUAAAGUAACAAUAAAAUAUAGUAAAGUAAAUACACAAACCAGUAACAGUCAUAUGUUAUCAUUAUCAAGCAUUAUGUCAUGUAUAUAAUUGUGUGUGCUAGACUUUUAUAGCACUGGUAGCACAGCACAGUAGGUUUGUUAACAAAAGCUUCACCACAAACGUGUAGUUCAUAAUGCUAUGACAUUAGGAUGGUUAUGUCAUCAUUAAGCAAUAAAAAUUUUCUAGCUCCAUUAUAAUCCUAUAGGACCACCAUUGGAUACAUGGUCCGUAUACACCAUUGACGUCUUUUCUGCAGUGCAUGACUACACUGAAUGUAGUAAAACACAUACAUAGAUGAUAAACUAAAGUAGUAUUUUCUUGUAGAAUAAAAGGCUUCAAGAAACUAGAAAAAUAAGGACAAAAUCAUUCCAAAGCAAACAGAAAGACGAAAAUAAAGAGCAGAAAUCAAUGAAAUUUAAAGCAGAAAAACAGUAGAGAAAACCAAUGAAUAAAACGUUGGUGUUUGGAAAAGAUCAAUAAAAUUGAUCUAGCAAGACUGACAAAGAAAAAGAAAAGACACAAUUACCUACAUCAGAAAGAAAAUAAGGAAUAUUACUACAGACCCUACAAACAUCACAAUAAUAGUAAGGGAAUACUGUGAAGAAGUCUACACAGAAAUUUGGCAACUUAGAUGAAGUAGACAAAUUCUUUGAAAAUUACAAAUCACCACACUUCACUCAACAUGAAAGAUAUAAUUUGAAUAGUCCCAUAACUCCUAUUAAGGAAAUUGAAUUCACAAUUUCAAAACCCCCAGAAAAUGAAACUCCAGAAUCAGAUGGUUUUACAAGAGAAUUCUACCAAAUGUUUAAUAAAAAAUGAACAUCAAUCCUACACAAUCUCUUCCAGAAAAUAGAAGAGGGGAACACUUCUCUGAUGUUCCAAACUAGGUAAACUUUAAAAUUGGCUAUUUUUUAAAAAUUAUUAUUUGAGUGUUCAAAAUUUCACCUUUCCUUAGAAAUUGGUGAUAUGUUUUUCU